ACAAGCGGUGGAUGAUGUGGAUUAAUUCGAUGCAACGCGAAAAACCUUACCUACCCUUGACAUGUCCGGAAUCCCGAAGAGAUUUUGGGAGUGCUCGCAAGAGAACCGGAACACAGGUGCUGCAUGGCUGUCGUCAGCUCGUGUCGUGAGAUGUUGGGUUAAGUCCCGCAACGAGCGCAACCCUUGUCAUUAGUUGCCAUCAUUUGGUUGGGCACUCUAAGGAGACUGCCGGUGACAAACCGGAGGAAGGUGGGGAUGACGUCAAGUCCUCAUGGCCCUUAUGGGUAGGGCUUCACACGUCAUACAAUGGUCGGUACAGAGGGUUGCCAACCCGCGAGGGGGAGCUAAUCCCACAAAGCCGAUCGUAGUCCGGAUCGCAGUCUGCAACUCGACUGCGUGAAGUCGGAAUCGCUAGUAAUCGUGGAUCAGCAUGUCACGGUGAAUACGUUCCCGGGUCUU
rnacentral:rRNA from 1 species